CAACCGCAGGACAAGUGCAGCGUGGCCCGAAGUCUGGCUUCUCCGUGUGUCUUGGCCUGACUCGGGCAGCUCGGCCCCUGCCUGGGGGAAUGGGUGCUGAAAUGUGCAGCCGCAGGAUGCUCCGGGAUAUUACAGGGGAUUAACAGGUGAGAAUUAGCUAUAACCUGGCAAAGAAGGAUCGCCAGCGCAAAGGGUUGUCAGACUAACGGGAAAUAGUAUAUGGAAACGGAAUACGAACUACAUAUUUAUUGUUGCGUUAGAUAUUUAAAAAUAGAAAAUCACAUAAACAAUGUACUUACGAUUAUAUAUAGAUAUUUGUACUGAAUAUGGAAAAUGCAUAUCAAUGAAAUAUUGGAAAGAAGAAGAAAGAAGGAAAGAAAGAAAGAAAGAAAGAAAGAAAGAAAGAAAGAAAGAAAGAAAGAAAGAAAAAAAGGAAAGUAAAGGAAAGAAAGAUAGAUUAAUUUAGAGGUGAUAUAGUUGCAGGAUAGUAGAUGGUGGGGUUGGAUUGAACAAAAAAAAACAAAAGACGAGACAGAUGAUGAUAAUGUUUGAUAUAUAUAUAAAUGUACAGUUGCUUAUGGCAUGGACCCAGAAAGCAAGAGCUAUGUUUCUAGUUCACAAACAAAGUAAUCUUCGCCAAAUCAAAUACUGUUUUAAAAUUCUUCCAGACUUUGUUAAAAACAACAAAAAAAGUUACAAGAGAUAAGAAAAGAAAAAUAAAAUUGCCUGUCAUCUA